rnacentral:rRNA from 1 species
UAAGUCAGAUGUGAAAGCCCGGGGCUCAACCUCGGAACCGCAUUUGAAACUGGCAGGCUAGAGUCUUGUAGAGGGGGGUAGAAUUUCAGGUGUAGCGGUGAAAUGCGUAGAGAUCUGAAGGAAUACCAGUGGCGAAGGCGGCCCCCUGGACAAAGACUGACGCUCAGAUGCGAAAGCGUGGGUAGCAAACAGGAUUAGAUACCCUGGUAGUCCACGCCGUAAACGCUGUCUACUUGGAGGUUGAGGUUUAGACUUUGGCUUUCGGCGCUAACGCAUUAAGUAGACCGCCUGGGGAGUACGGCCGCAAGGUUAAAACUCAAAUGAAUUGACGGGGGCCCGCACAAGCGGUGGAGCAUGUGGUUUAAUUCGAUGCAACGCGAAGAACCUUACCUACUCUUGACAUCCAGCGAAGCCUUUAGAGAUAGAGGCGUGCCUUCGGGAGCGCUGAGACAGGUGCUGCAUGGCUGUCGUCAGCUCGUGUUGUGAAAUGUUGGGUUAAGUCCCGCAACGAGCGCAACCCUUAUCCUUGUUUGCCAGCACGUAAUGGUGGGAACUCCAGGAAGACUGCCGGUGAUAAACCGGAGGAAGGUGGGGACGACGUCAAGUCAUCAUGGCCCUUACGAGUAGGGCUACACACGUGCUACAAUGGCAGAUACAGAGGGCAGCGAAGCUGCGAAGUGGAGCGAAUCCCUUAAAGUCUGUCGUAGUCCGGAUUGGAGUCCGCAACUCGACUCCAUGAAGUCGGAAUCGCUAGUAAUCGUGGAUCAGAAU